rnacentral:lncRNA from 1 species
UGUUAGUCUCCCUAUGUGUGUGCAGUUGCGAUACAGUGGAAACAAGUCUCCAAACCGGUCCUUAAGAAGUUUAUAAUCUGACAGAAAUCUGUGGGCGAAAGAUGAGGACAGAACAUUAAAACGUGAUUCCAUGAAAACUAUUCCUGAAGGUCAUUAAAAAAUUCAUAAGAUGUAGACAAGUGCACUGGACGACCAGCCAGGAGAUGGAAGGUCCAACCCCAGGUCUGUUACAACCAACCAGUGUGGCCAUGGACAGGACAAGAUUCGAUCUCUCUGGGUUUCCACAUUUGUCAGGAGGUGCUACUUUAGGUAACUACCUUUUGACCCCACCACAAUGUCCCUCACUCUAUGAAAGCAGAGGAUUAAGGUCCAGACUGUGGAGAAUAGCUGCAGAGUGACAUGGACUGUCAUCGAUCCAACCCCCAUCAUUGAAAGUUCAAGACUUCAGUGGAGGAAUAACUGCAGAGGUGGUAGAAAUGGCAAAGAUUCUGGAAUUAGAAGUGGAGCCUGAAGAUGUCACUGAAAUUCCUGUAAUCAUGAUAAAACUUAAAACUUUAGUGGAUGAGUAAUUCCUUUUUAUAGAUGUGUAAAGAAAGUGGUUUCCAAAUUUGAAAGAACUUCACUGUGGAUAAAAUAUUAUUAAACAGCAUUACAUGCUACAGAGAUAUUUUUCAUGAAGGAAGAGUCAAUUGACACAGCAAACUUCAAGGUUGUCUUAUUUUAAGAAACUGCCACGGUCACCCCAACCUUCAGCAACCACCACUUUGAUUAGUCAGCAACCAUUGACACUGAGAUAAGACCCUGCACCAGAAAGAAGACGAUUCACUAAAAGCUCAGAUGAUGGUUAGCAUUUUUAGCAAUAAAGUGUUUUUAAAUUAAGAUAUGGACAUUUUUGAGACAUAAUAUUAUUGAACACAUAAUAGACACAGUAUAGUGUAAACAUAACUUUCAUAUGCACUGGGAAACCAAAAAGUCACUUGACUCAUUUUAUUGUAAGAUUCACUUUUUUGUGUUAUCUGGAACUGAAGCCACAAUAUGAGAUAUGCCUAUAAAAUAAAAACAAAACCUACAAAAUAAUAAAAAAAU